rnacentral:rRNA from 1 species
GACAGAGGGUGCAAACGUUGUUCGGAAUUACUGGGCGUAAAGCGUGUGUAGGCGGCUUUGCAAGUCGGAUGUGAAAGCCCCGGGCUCAACCCGGGAAGUGCACUCGAUACUGCAGAGCUUGAGUAUCGGAGAGGUUGGUGGAAUUCUCGGUGUAGAGGUGAAAUUCGUAGAUAUCGAGAGGAACACCGGCGGCGAAGGCGGCCAACUGGACGAAUACUGACGCUGAGGUGCGAAAGCGUGGGGAGCAAACAGG